AAAGAUGAUAAUAUUUAUUAUUGCUAUUAUAAUCAUUGUUGUUUUAUGCGUAAUUACUUAUCUUU
rnacentral:snoRNA from 11 species